AUUGAACGCUGGCGGCAUGCCUUACACAUGCAAGUCGAACGGCAGCGCGGACUUCGGUCUGGCGGCGAGUGGCGAACGGGUGAGUAAUACAUCGGAACGUACCCUGUUGUGGGGGAGAACUAGUCGAAAGAUUAGCUAAUACCGCAUACGACCUGAGGGUGAAAGUGGGGGACCGCAAGGCCUCACGCAGCAGAAGCGGCGGACGUAUGAUUAGCUAGUUGGUGGGGUAAAGGCCCACCAAGGCGACGAUCAGUCGCUGGUAUGAGAGGACGAUCAGCCACACUGGGACUGAGACACGGCCCAGACUCCUACGGGAGGCAGCAGUGGGGAAUUUUGGACAAUGGGGGCAACCCUGAUCCAGCAAUGCCGCGUGUGUGAAGAAGGCCUUCGGGUUGUAAAGCACUUUUGUCCGGAAAGAAAUCGCGCUGGUUAAUACCUGGCGUGGAUGACGGUACCGGAAGAAUAAGCACCGGCUAACUACGUGCCAGCAGCCGCCGUAA
rnacentral:rRNA from 1 species